GGCCCCGUAGCUCAAUUGGAUAGAGCAUCAGACUUCGAAUCUGAGGGUUGCGUGUUCAAAUCAUGCCGGGGUCACCA
rnacentral:tRNA from 1 species